rnacentral:lncRNA from 10 species
GUGGGGUGCGAUGGAGGAGACAGAAGCAGUCAAGGAGCUCUGGGAAGUGCCCUGCUCCCUGGACUGGGGCUGAGAUCCACCCAGCUCCUCCCUGCCACUCCCACACAGAGCCACCUGUACCUAAGCAGCAACUUUGGACAUGACACCUCUCCCCGCCUGGCCUCAGUUUCCCCAUCUGUGAGAUGCCCCCGCCAGGCUCUGACCUGCUGGGCCUUCUUGGAUCUGCCAUGGCUUCCAAGACUUGACCUCCUAUGUGGAAAUCCUGUUUCCAAAUGGCUUCUGGGGGCACCAAAAGCCAGGCUGGGAGAUGCCCAGGAAGGGAGACAAUCUGAAGCCACCUGAGCCCACAGCCCCACUCUGGAUGAGGAGGCGGCAGAGCCGUGUCUCUCUAUUGCCCAGAGAAGAGCCCCUUCUCCCACGGAAGCUGCUCUGCUCUCCACCCUGUACGCCAGCUCCCAACUGCUCUUCAACAGCCCAGGCGCGGGCACGAGGAGGACGCGUUUGACGGGAGCCCACAUGUCACCCUCCCUCCCAGCCGGGCGAUGCCUCUCCUACAGCUUCCCUCCAACUGACUGUCCUAAUCAGGCUCCAGAGGGGAGGCUGAUUGGAGCUGCGGGCUCGUGGCGAGGCGUCCACUCUCCGCUUGAGGAUGCAGAGCUCCACAGGGCCCAGCUCCAGUAUCCAGGGACCAGCCAGCCCUGUCCCAUCCCAGCAGGGGAAGAGAGGCACUGGCCCCGAAGCUAGAUUUCAGGCCCAAACACAGCCCGAAAGCCCAGGAGAUGGAGGCCAUGCUGAGACAGCAGCGAAGCUCCAAGAGGACACCUGUGAAGAAGUUACAACCAUCCCAUGUUCCAGAGGAGAAGACAGCGUCCCAGGGAGAAGAAUGCAUUUCACUCUGUUGCCCAUGCUGGAGUGCAGUAGCGUGAUCUCAACUCACCACAACCUCUGCCUCCUGGGUUGAAGUGAUUCUCAUGCCUCAGUCUCCUGAGUAGCUGGGACUACAGGCGCCCAACCAUACCCGGCUAAUUUUUGGAUGGAUUUUUAGCACAGAUGGGGUUUCACCACGUUGGCCAAGCUGGUCUCAAACUCCUGGCCUCAAGUGAUCCUCCCGCCUUGGCCUCCCAAAGUGCUGGGAUUACAGGCGUGAGCCACCACGCCCAGCCUCAAGGUCAUGAUUUAAUAAAAAGUAUU